GCCAGGGUAGCUCAGCCUGUCCGCUUCGGGCUAUGGACCGGGCUGUCGCAGGUUCAAAUCCUGCCCCUGGCA
rnacentral:tRNA from 1 species